rnacentral:rRNA from 1 species
GACGAACGCUGGCGGCGUGCCUAAUACAUGCAAGUCGAACGGUCUUUUCUAUGGAAGCUUGCUUCCACUGAGAAGAUAGUGGCGGACGGGUGAGUAACACGUGGGUAACCUGCCCAUAAGACCGGGACAACAGCUGGAAACGGCUGCUAAUACCGGAUAUAUUUAUUGAGAGGCAUCUCUUAAUAAAGGAAGCUGGCCUCUGAACAUGCUAGCGCUUAAGGAUGGGCCCGCGUCUGAUUAGCUAGUUGGUGGGUAAUGGCUCACCAAGGCGACGAUCAGUAGCCGGCCUGAGAGGGUAAACGGCCACACUGGGACUGAGACACGGCCCAGA